rnacentral:rRNA from 1 species
GACAGAGGGUGCAAACGUUGCUCGGAAUUACUGGGCGUAAAGCGCACGUAGGCGGCUUCUAAGUCGGGGGUGAAAUCCUGGAGCUCAACUCCAGAACUGCCUUCGAUACUGGAAAGCUCGAGUCCGGGAGAGGUGAGUGGAACUGCGAGUGUAGAGGUGAAAUUCGUAGAUAUUCGCAAGAACACCAGUGGCGAAGGCGGCUCACUGGCCCGGUACUGACGCUGAGGUGCGAAAGCGUGGGGAGCAAACAGG